rnacentral:rRNA from 1 species
AAUAUUGGACAAUGGGCGAAAGCCUGAUCCAGCCAUCCCGCGUGUAUGAUGAAGGCCUUCGGGUUGUAAAGUACUUUUGGCAGAGAAGAAAAGGUAUCCCUUAAUACGAGAUACUGCUGACGGUAUCUGCAGAAUAAGCACCGGCCAACUACGUGCCAGCAGCCGCGGUAAUACGUAGGGUGCAAGCGUUAAUCGGAAUUACUGGGCGUAAAGAGUGUGUAGGCGGUUCGAAAAGAAAGAUGUGAAAUACCAGGGCUCAACCUUGGAACAGCAUUUUUAACUGCCGAGCUAGAGUAUGUCAGAGAGGGGUAGAAUUCCACGUGUAGCAGUGAAAUGCGUAGAUAUAUGGAGGAAAACCGAUGGCGAAGGCAGCCCCCUGGGAUAAUACUGACGCUCAGACACGAAAGAGUGGGGAGCAAACAGG